AUUUGAAUAAUUUAUGAAAAAUAUUGAUUUGUGGUAUCAAAAAAAUGAAUGGGUUCAUUUCAAAUU
rnacentral:tRNA from 1 species